UGGCUCUAUCGGCGGUGUGUGGCGGCGAAUGGUGGCGAGAUGUCUCACAGGAAAUUCUCAGCUCUUAGGCAUGAGUCCUUGGGCUUCUUGCCUCGGAAGCACAGCAGCCGGCAUCGUGGGAAAGAGAAGAGCUUCCCUAAGGAUGACCCUUCCAAGCCUGUUCACCUCACAGCCUUUCUAGGGUAAAAGGCUGGCAUGACCCACACUGUCCAAGAAGUUGACCAGCCAGGUGAACAAGAAAGAAGUGGAGGCUGUGACCAUUGUGGAAGCCCCACUCACGGUGGUUGUGGGCAUUGUGGGAUAUGUAGAAACCCUACGAGGCCUCCGUACCUUCCAGGCUGUAUUUGCUGAGCGUAUCAGCGAUGAGUGUAAAAGGCGUUUCUCUAAGAAUUGGCACAAAUCUAAGAAGAAGGCUUUUUACCAAAUACUGUAAGAAACGGAAAGAUGACACAGGCAAGAAGCAGCUGGAGAAGGACUUCAACAGCAUGAAGAAGAAUUUCCAGGUCAUCUGAAUAAUUGCCCAGAUGCGUCUGCUUCCUCUGCGCCAGAAGAAGGCACACCUGAUGGAGAUCCGGGUGACUGGGGGCACUGUGACUGAGAAGCUAGACUGGGCCCGAGGCUGGAGCAGCAGGUCCCGGUGAACCAGGUGUUUGGGCAGGAUGAGAUGAUUGAUGUCAUCGGUGUGACAAAAGGCAAAGGCUACAAAGUGGUGACCAGUCGUUGGCAUACAAAGAAGCUGCCCCAAAAGACCCAUCGAGGUCUGUGCAAAGUUGCCUGUAUUAGAGCUUGGCACCCUGCCCCUGUAGCCUUCUCUGUGGCUCGAGCUGGGCAGAAAGGCUACCAUCACCGAACAGAGAUCAACA
rnacentral:lncRNA from 1 species